CCCGAAUGGGGAAACCCAGUGUGAUUCGUCACACUAUCAUUAACUGAAUCCAUAGGUUAAUGAGGCGAACCGGGGGAACUGAAACAUCUAAGUACCCCGAGGAAAAGAAAUCAACCGAGAUUCCCCCAGUAGCGGCGAGCGAACGGGGAGGAGCCCAGAGCCUGAAUCAGCAUGUGUGUUAGUGGAAGCGUCUGGAAAGGCGCGCGAUACAGGGUGACAGCCCCGUACACAAAAGCGCAUGUGCUGUGAGCUCGAUGAGUAGGGCGGGACACGUGGUAUCCUGUCUGAAUAUGGGGGGACCAUCCUCCAAGGCUAAAUACUCCUGACUGACCGAUAGUGAACCAGUACCGUGAGGGAAAGGCGAAAAGAACCCCGGCGAGGGGAGUGAAAAAGAACCUGAAACCGUGUACGUACAAGCAGUGGGAGCACCCUUUGGGUGUGACUGCGUACCUUUUGUAU
rnacentral:rRNA from 1 species